UACGAAGGGGGCUAGCGUUGCUCGGAAUCACUGGGCGUAAAGGGUGCGUAGGUGGGUCCUUAAGUCAGGGGUGAAAUCCUGGAGCUCAACUCCAGAACUGCCUUUGAUACUGAAGAUCUUGAGUUCGGGAGAGGUGAGUGGAACUGCGAGUGUAGAGGUGAAAUUCGUAGAUAUUCGCAAGAACACCAGUGGCGAAGGCGGCUCACUGGCCCGAUACUGACGCUGAGGCACGAAAGCGUGGGGAGCAAACAGG
rnacentral:rRNA from 1 species